rnacentral:rRNA from 1 species
UACGGAGGGUGCGAGCGUUAUCCGGAUUUACUGGGUUUAAAGGGUGUGUAGGCGGAUAUUUAAGUCAGUGGUGAAAUCUCGGGGCUCAACCCCGAAACUGCCAUUGAUACUAUUUAUCUUGAAUACUGUGGAGGUGAGCGGAAUGUGUCAUGUAGCGGUGAAAUGCAUAGAGAUGACACAGAACACCGAUUGCGAAGGCAGCUCACUACGCAGUGAUUGACGCUGAGGCACGAAAGCGUGGGGAUCAAACAGG